GUGAGGUAAUGGCUUACCAAGGCGACGACGGGUAGCCGGCCUGAGAGGGCGAUCGGCCACACUGGGACUGAGACACGGCCCAGACUCCUACGGGAGGCAGCAGUGGGGAAUAUUGCACAAUGGGCGAAAGCCUGAUGCAGCGACGCCGCGUGAGGGAUGAAGGCCUUCGGGUUGUAAACCUCUUUCAGCAGGGAAGAAGCGGUGGAUUUUUGUCUGUCGUGACGGUACCUGCAGAAGAAGCACCGGCUAACUACGUGCCAGCAGCCGCGGUAAUACGUAGGGUGCGAGCGUUGUCCGGAAUUAUUGGGCGUAAAGAGCUUGUAGGUGGUUUGUCGCGUCUGUUGUGAAAUUUCGGGGCUCAACCCCGAACUUGCAGUGGAUACGGGCAGACUAGAGUGUGGUAGGGGAGACUGGAAUUCCUGGUGUAGCGGUGAAAUGCGCAGAUAUCAGGAGGAACACCGAUGGCGAAGGCAGGUCUCUGGGCCAUUACUGACACUGAGAAGCGAAAGCAUGGGGAGCGAACAGGAUUAGAUACCCUGGUAGUCCAUGCCGUAAACGGUGGGAACUAGGUGUGGGUCUCAUUCCACGAGAUCCGUGCCGCAGCUAACGCAUUAAGUU
rnacentral:rRNA from 1 species